rnacentral:rRNA from 1 species
GACGAACGCUGGCGGCGUGCUUAACACAUGCAAGUCGAACGGAAAGGCCCUGCUUUUGUGGGGUGCUCGAGUGGCGAACGGGUGAGUAACACGUGAGUAACCUGCCCUUGACUUUGGGAUAACUUCAGGAAACUGGGGCUAAUACCGGAUAGGAGCUCCUGCUGCAUGGUGGGGGUUGGAAAGUUUCGGCGGUUGGGGAUGGACUCGCGGCUUAUCAGCUUGUUGGUGGGGUAGUGGCGUACCAAGGCUUUGACGGGUAGCCGGCCUGAGAGGGUGACCGGCCACAUGGGGACUGAGAGACGGCCCAGACUCCUACGGGAGGCAGCAGUGGGGAAUAUUGCACAAUGGGCGGAAGCCUGUUGCAGCAACGCCGCGUGCGGGAUGACGGCCUUCGGGUUGUAAACCGCUUUCGCCUGUGACGAAGCGUGAGUGACGGUAAUGGGUAAAGAAGCACCGGCUAACUACGUG